rnacentral:rRNA from 1 species
CGCAGUAGGGAUCUUCGGCAUGGACGAAAGUCUGACCGAGCAACGCCGCGUGAGCGAAGAAGGCCUUCGGGUCGUAAAGCUCUGUUGUUAGAGAAGAACAUGGGUGAGAGUAACUGUUCACCCCUUGACGGUAUCUAACCAGAAAGCCACGGCUAACUACGUGCCAGCAGCCGCGGUAAUACGUAGGUGGCAAGCGUUGUCCGGAAUUAUUGGGCGUAAAGCGCGCGCAGGCGGUCUCUUAAGUCUGAUGUGAAAGCCCCCGGCUCAACCGGGGAGGGUCAUUGGAAACUGGGAGACUUGAGGACAGAAGAGGAGAGUGGAAUUCCAAGUGUAGCGGUGAAAUGCGUAGAUAUUUGGAGGAACACCAGUGGCGAAGGCGGCUCUCUGGUCUGUUACUGACGCUGAGGCGCGAAAGCGUGGGGAGCAAACAGGAUUAGAUACCCUGGUAGUCCACGCCGUAAACGAUGAGUGCUAAGUGUUAGGGGGUUUCCGCCCCUUAGUGCUGCAGUUAACGCAUUAAGCACUCCGCCUGGGGAGUACGACCGCAAGGUUGAAACUCAAAGGAAUUGACGGGGGCCCCC